rnacentral:rRNA from 1 species
GGGUGAGUAACGCGUAGGUAACCUGCCUGGUAGCGGGGGAUAACUAUUGGAAACGAUAGCUAAUACCGCAUAAUAGCAGUUGUUGCAUGACAGCUGUUUGAAAGGUGCAAUUGCACCACUACCAGAUGGACCUGCGUUGUAUUAGCUAGUUGGUGGGGGAACGGCCCACCAAGGCGACGAUACAUAGCCGACCUGAGAGGGUGAUCGGCCACACUGGGACUGAGACACGGCCCAGACUCCUACGGGAGGCAGCAGUAGGGAAUCUUCGGCAAUGGACGGAAGUCUGACCGAGCAACGCUGCGUGAGUGAAGAAGGUUUUCGGAUCGUAAAGCUCUGUUGUAAGAGAAGAACGAGUGUGAGAGUGGAAAGUUCACACUGUGACGGUAUCCUACCAGAAAGGGACGGCUAACUACAUGCCAGCAGCCGCGGUAAUACGUGGGUCCCGAGCGUUGUCCGGAUUUAUUGGGCGUAAAGCGAGCGCAGGCGGUUAGAUAAGUCUGAAGUUAAAGGCUGUGGCUUAACCAUAGUACGCUUUGGAAACUGUUUAACUUGAGUGCAAGAGGGGAGAGUGGAAUUCCAUGUGUAGCGGUGAAAUGCGUAGAUAUAUGGAGGAACACCGGUGGCGAAAGCGGCUCUCUGGCUUGUAACUGACGCUGAGGCUCGAAAGCGUGGGGAGCAAACAGGAUUAGAUAUCCUGGUAGUCCACGCCGUAAACGAUGAGUGCUAGGUGUUAGACCCU